rnacentral:snoRNA from 1 species
AUGCUGUGGACGUGAUGAGCUCCUCAUGUCUCUUCUCCGAGUCAACAAAUGUGGGGAGAACUGUGAAGUUUCUGAUCGCAGCAU